ACAUAGAGGCAACCUUGAUGCAUGAAAUUUUCACUAUAUUAAUCAUUUAUCAUAAAUUCAACGUAAAGCACAUCAGGCAACAAAUUUGCAAAAAUAUGCUUAGUUCUUAGUAAGGUUAUUGACCGAAAUACACAUGUUUCACUGAACCAAAACGUUCAGGAAGACGACACCGUUAAUUAAGGAAUUUGCCAAGAACCACGAUUGCUAGCUUUCUAGGAGAAUGUUUGCAGGAUGAAUUACACGAAUUAAUGUUUGGCAUGCAGAUUCACCUUUUUCAGACUUAAAACGGACUAUACACGUGUUCGAUAAAAUAUAACAAUGCACGAAGCACAACUGAAUUUGCGAAGUGCACUGAUUCAGAAG